rnacentral:rRNA from 1 species
UUAAGUUAUUAAGGGCGCACGGUGGAUGCCUUGGCACUAGAAGCCGAUGAAGGACGUUACUAACGACGAUAUGCUUUGGGGAGCUGUAAGUAAGCUUUGAUCCAGAGAUUUCCGAAUGGGGAAACCCAGCAUGAGUUAUGUCAUGUUAUCGAUAUGUGAAUACAUAGCAUAUCAGAAGGCACACCCGGAGAACUGAAACAUCUUAGUACCCGGAGGAAGAGAAAGAAAAUUCGAUUCCCUUAGUAGCGGCGAGCGAAACGGGAAGAGCCCAAACCAACAAGCUUGCUUGUUGGGGUUGUAGGACACUCUAUACGGAGUUACAAAGGACGACAUUAGACGAAUCAUCUGGAAAGAUGAAUCAAAGAAGGUAAUAAUCCUGUAGUCGAAAAUGUUGUCUCUCUUGAGUGGAUCCUGAGUACGACGGAGCACGUGAAAUUCCGUCGGAAUCUGGGAGGACCAUCUCCUAAGGCUAAAUACUCUCUAGUGACCGAUAGUGAACCAGUACCGUGAGGGAAAGGUGAAAAGCACCCCGGAAGGGGAGUGAAAUAGAACCUGAAACCGUGUGCUUACAAGUAGUCAGAGCCCGUUAAUGGGUGAUGGCGUGCCUUUUGUAGAAUGAACCGGCGAGUUACGAUUUGAUGCAAGGUUAAGCAGUAAAUGUGGAGCCGUAGCGAAAGCGAGUCUGAAUAGGGCGUUUAGUAUUUGGUCGUAGACCCGAAACCAGGUGAUCUACCCUUGGUCAGGUUGAAGUUCAGGUAACACUGAAUGGAGGACCGAACCGACUUACGUUGAAAAGUGAGCGGAUGAACUGAGGGUAGCGGAGAAAUUCCAAUCGAACCUGGAGAUAGCUGGUUCUCUCCGAAAUAGCUUUAGGGCUAGCCUCAAGUGAUGAUUAUUGGAGGUAGAGCACUGUUUGGACGAGGGGCCCCUCUCGGGUUACCGAAUUCAGACAAACUCCGAAUGCCAAUUAAUUUAACUUGGGAGUCAGAACAUGGGUGAUAAGGUCCGUGUUCGAAAGGGAAACAGCCCAGACCACCAGCUAAGGUCCCAAAAUAUAUGUUAAGUGGAAAAGGAUGUGGCGUUGCCCAGACAACUAGGAUGUUGGCUUAGAAGCAGCCAUCAUUUAAAGAGUGCGUAAUAGCUCACUAGUCGAGUGACACUGCGCCGAAAAUGUACCGGGGCUAAACAUAUUACCGAAGCUGUGGAUUGUCCUUUGGACAAUGGUAGGAGAGCGUUCUAAGGGCGUUGAAGCAUGAUCGUAAGGACAUGUGGAGCGCUUAGAAGUGAGAAUGCCGGUGUGAGUAGCGAAAGACGGGUGAGAAUCCCGUCCACCGAUUGACUAAGGUUUCCAGAGGAAGGCUCGUCCGCUCUGGGUUAGUCGGGUCCUAAGCUGAGGCCGACAGGCGUAGGCGAUGGAUAACAGGUUGAUAUUCCUGUACCACCUAUAAUCGUUUUAAUCGAUGGGGGGACGCAGUAGGAUAGGCGAAGCGUGCGAUUGGAUUGCACGUCUAAGCAGUAAGGCUGAGUAUUAGGCAAAUCCGGUACUCGUUAAGGCUGAGCUGUGAUGGGGAGAAGACAUUGUGUCUUCGACUCGUUGAUUUCACACUGCCGAGAAAAGCCUCUAGAUAGAAAAUAGGUGCCCGUACCGCAAACCGACACAGGUAGUCAAGAUGAGAAUUCUAAGGUGAGCGAGCGAACUCUCGUUAAGGAACUCGGCAAAAUGACCCCGUAACUUCGGGAGAAGGGGUGCUCUUUAGGGUUAACGCCCAGAAGAGCCGCAGUGAAUAGGCCCAAGCGACUGUUUAUCAAAAACACAGGUCUCUGCUAAACCGUAAGGUGAUGUAUAGGGGCUGACGCCUGCCCGGUGCUGGAAGGUUAAGAGGAGUGGUUAGCUUCUGCGAAGCUACGAAUCGAAGCCCCAGUAAACGGCGGCCGUAACUAUAACGGUCCUAAGGUAGCGAAAUUCCUUGUCGGGUAAGUUCCGACCCGCACGAAAGGCGUAACGAUUUGGGCACUGUCUCAACGAGAGACUCGGUGAAAUCAUAGUACCUGUGAAGAUGCAGGUUACCCGCGACAGGACGGAAAGACCCCGUGGAGCUUUACUGUAGCCUGAUAUUGAAAUUCGGCACAGCUUGUACAGGAUAGGUAGGAGCCUUUGAAACGUGAGCGCUAGCUUACGUGGAGGCGCUGGUGGGAUACUACCCUAGCUGUGUUGGCUUUCUAACCCGCACCACUUAUCGUGGUGGGAGACAGUGUCAGGCGGGCAGUUUGACUGGGGCGGUCGCCUCCUAAAAGGUAACGGAGGCGCUCAAAGGUUCCCUCAGAAUGGUUGGAAAUCAUUCAUAGAGUGUAAAGGCAUAAGGGAGCUUGACUGCGAGACCUACAAGUCGAGCAGGGUCGAAAGACGGACUUAGUGAUCCGGUGGUUCCGUAUGGAAGGGCCAUCGCUCAACGGAUAAAAGCUACCCCGGGGAUAACAGGCUUAUCUCCCCCAAGAGUUCACAUCGACGGGGAGGUUUGGCACCUCGAUGUCGGCUCAUCGCAUCCUGGGGCUGUAGUCGGUCCCAAGGGUUGGGCUGUUCGCCCAUUAAAGCGGUACGCGAGCUGGGUUCAGAACGUCGUGAGACAGUUCGGUCCCUAUCCGUCGUGGGCGUAGGAAAUUUGAGAGGAGCUGUCCUUAGUACGAGAGGACCGGGAUGGACAUACCUCUGGUGUACCAGUUGUCGUGCCAACGGCAUAGCUGGGUAGCUAUGUGUGGACGGGAUAAGUGCUGAAAGCAUCUAAGCAUGAAGCCCCCCUCAAGAUGAGAUUUCCCAACUUCGGUUAUAAGAUCCCUCAAAGAUGAUGAGGUUAAUAGGUUCGAGGUGGAAGCAUGGUGACAUGUGGAGCUGACGAAUACUAAUCGAUCGAAGACUUAAUCAA